rnacentral:lncRNA from 1 species
AUAGCAUUCGUCUUGCUUCAUUGACAAAAGUUGUAACUAGGGAAGCACAAAAUGGACAACAAUGACGGAUAGGUCGUAACGUUCAAAGCUCCUUUUCAAUGAACACUGUAGUCAUUCAUUUAGUGCAUCCAGCAAUGGCCGGCGUUCGAGUUGCAUGAUAAAAUGACGACAAUUAGGCAACGGUAACGUGCCAGCGAUAAACAGUUCCACAAGCAGCAAAAUAAAGAUUUCUUUUCGCGUUCUUGUUUCUUAUCCAAGGAGACUGCACUUAUCAUGGACACUACGUUGUUGAAGGCACGACGUAUUAUCUUAAUACGCCUUGCGAGCGGUGGGUGUGCGCAGACAGGUUCAAUUAUACAGACGGAUAUCUGCAUCGCUUCAGCUGCCCGGAACCCGACCCACCAAGGCGGUUCUGCUGGCAUGAAGCAGGAAAAGGCAAAUACCCGGCCUGUUGUCCAAAGGAAGUAUGCCCCGUCCAAGUAAAUAGUACGGCAGUCUCACCGAGUACUCUCCAACAAGUUGGUGCAUCAAAAAAUGUCACCACAAGCCAACGAAGCAAGCUAGGACGAAAUACAAUUAAACCUUCACUUAGAGACUCUAUUAUGAAUAAAGAGUACCUGAAUUACAA